AAGAACCACAGCCAUCGCCCGUCUCCCAUCUCCAAGAUGGCGGAGGCAGCUUCAACCUCACCUCUCGCGAGGAGUUUGUCCCACUGUCUCUGAUUAGCCCCGAGGUCAGAGGGCAGCCACAGAUGGUAUAUGAUUUGUGAAACUUUGUUGGAUCCCUUUCCCACAUCGCUAGUCUUCAUCCCAUUACCUGUCGUUCAGGUAUCACAGGCUUUGUGAGAACUCAGCUGCCAGAAUUUUAACAAUGAGAGAAAACAUUCAUUCUCACUUCUGAAGGCUUUCAUUGCUGUAAUGAUCUCCAGGUGCUGCUGUGUUGGAACUCUAGAACUGGUGCAAGCUAUUUUCACACCAUUUGCCUCCUGUUGCGUGCCCUUCCUCUCUAUGCAGAUCAGAGUCUGGAAAUCCGGAUAGCGGGAUGUUGACAAAUUCCAGUGCUCUAUUAAACUUUUUUCUCCCUCCCCCCACCCCCGCCAAAUCUUGUUGCUUCCCCAGGGUUCCAUCCUCUGUCUUCCUCUCACUCAACACCCUGCUGCUUGAAUUCAAUAAAAUGCUAUGAUCUACCAAGUCUUCUAUUUCUUAUGUAAAUUUUCUGCCUUCGGAUUAUUGUCUGAAUUAUCUAUUCAGUUGUUUAAACCGGAACCUUAGUUUUCUCACCCUCUACAUCCGUUUGAUGACGAGGAUAAUACAGAAUAAGUAAAUAGUUAUUAAAUCCAUCCCUUUCCGUCUCUCUUAUUGUUCUUGAUCAAGCCCUCAUGGCCUCUUACCCUCAAAGGCAGUAAUUUCCUCCAUGGUUUGCUGUGCAGGAAGUAUCAGAAUGUGAUAAGUGCUUGUGAACUGAAGUCUAUUUUAAGAGUUCACUGAAAUUCUUUACUCAUCAGUUGAUUCCCACAAAUAUUUACUGAACACUUGUUUUAUGCACAAAGGGCUUGGGAUACAUUAGUGAACAAGACAAAGAUUUCUGCCCUCAUGAAGCUAAUAUUCUAGUGGAGGUUGGAGGAGGCAGAGAAGUCUGACCAUAUAAAAUGUUGUAAGGUGAAGGGGGCUAGGUGGCGAUGAGGGGAUUGCAAUUUAAAUACAAUGGAUGGGACAGGCCUAAUAGAAGAAGGGACUAUUGAGCAAAGAUGUGGAGUGGGUAAGAGUUAGCUCUGAGGACAUCUGGGGGAAGGGCCUUGCAGGCAGAGGGAAUGGCUAAGGCAAAACUCCUGAGGCUCAGUGUCCCCAGCCUAUACAAAGAACAGUAAAGGGUCAGUGUGGCUGGAGCAGAGUGAGCUAGGGGGACAAGUAUAAGGUCAGAGGAAACAGGAUGCAGUCCUAUGGGGACUUGUACGCGAGGGUAAUAAGGCUUUGACUUUUACUCUGAGAUGGAGAACAUGCUUUAAGCAGAGGAGUAGUGACCCAGUCUUUUAAAACGAUCACUCUACUGUGUUGUAUAUAGAUAUCAGGGGGCAACUUAGAGGCGAGGACACUGGUAGGCAGGCUUCUGUAGUAACCUAGGUGAGAGAUGAUGGUGGCUUACACCUGGGUGGUAACAGUCAAGGAGUAAGAAGUGAUCUUGUUAUCUCUUCCUUAUUCCCUUCCAUUUCUUUAUUAACCUUUAUUUAUUGAGUACCUAUUAUGGUGGCAGGCAUUAUGCUAGGUCUGGGAAUAUACUGGUGAGCAAGACUAACAUUACCUAUCUUCAUAGAGCUUAUCCUAGUGAGGGGAAGCCAUACAAUAAAAAUGUGAAUAAAAUAACAUUGUGCUGAGACACCUGAAUACAUUACAAUGUUAUAAAGGUGAAUGAGGUUAGAGGAGGGGUCACUACCUACUUUAGCUGGGGUAGUUAGGUAGUCUUUCUGAGAAGGGAACAUUUUACUGAAAACCAAAGAAUAGAAAAAAAUCUAGUAAUGUGAAGAAUGAAAAUAGGGAGGAUGGGAAGAGCAUUCUCCAGACAGGGAGUGUGUACUGGGGCCUGAGGCAGUUGUGAGUUCAGUAUUUCCUGGGAACUGAAUGGAGGCUAUGGUGUGAGCCAGGGGAAGAAGGGUAUAAAAUGAGGUUGAAGAAGUAAGUGACUUGUUAGUUUGGAUUUUAAGUGCAAACCUUUUUAGGCAUGGUAGAGACCUGAUCUAAACAUUUUUAAAGGCCAUUCUAUUAUGUGAAGAGUUUAUCAGUGCGAGUAGCAGACCAGUAAAGAGGCCAUUGCAGGCAAGUAAGAUAAGUUGGUAACUUGGACUUAGGUAGUGGCAGCGGAGAAAGAAUAACCAGGAUUUGAGAAUAUGUUGCAGGUAGAAACAUCAAAACUUGCUCACAGAUGGAUAUGAGAAUGAGGAAAAGAAUCAAGGUAUUAAGGUUGACUUGUACUUGAAUUUCUUCUGGCUUGAGCAUUUACUGAGAUGUGGAUGGCCUUUAAGAAAGAGAACAAAAACUGCCAAACUACAAAAAAUAAAAAUAAAUAUAUAUUAAAAAAAGAAGAAGAGAGCAAUGUAACCCCCACAAAACAGGAACUGUGAGAUGGGAGCAAUUUAGGAAGCAGGGUCAUCAGCCAUGAGGUUGUAGGACUGGGGAGUGCCAGAAGAGAAAGAAUGUAUAGUUCUCAAAGGUUGGUAAUGCAAGUUACUAAAGAAGCAUGAAGAUCACCAGCCAGUGCAGAGUGCCCUUCUGAG